ensembl:lncRNA
AGCAGCUCCAGCUACAGAGCUCGCUGUAGUUUUAGAAGUAUUCUCACAAUCCCCCAUCUCUGUUUGGUCUUCUCAACAGCCUUCAGAGGUGUUUUAUGAAGGGGUAGUCUUGAUUUCAAGUGAAGAAAUGGUGGCCAAAGUCAUGAAGUGAGGCCCCAGACACAGUGGGUCAAUGGUUUCAAUGCAGCAGCGGAACGUGGGGUCCUCUGACUUUCUCCUGCUAAUGUCCAGCUGGCAAUAAGCCAACACACUGCAUCUGCACCCAGACUCGACGGAGCCGUUCAGAGUGAACGAGGGAGACCUGGAAUCACUCUCCUGGCUACGCAAGGAGGUCUUUUUACUUGUGAAACAAAGAGCUUGUGUCACGACUCAAACAUCUCAUCCUUAAGACAGGUGGCGGGAUCAGAAACGCCAUGUCUGAGCUGGUUUGGGAUUGAGGAGGCUGUUGACGGGGCUUCACCAUGAUCAGUCCUUCGGCAAGAGGACAGGGUUCGCCUCCAGGUUAGCAGAGAUCCAGACCAAGGAAGUGGGUGUGCGCCUCUCCUCCCUCCUCCGGUCCGUCUCACUGCACACCAUUGCAGGCUGACAUCACGGUCGGCCUGAGGACAAGACUUGCCAAACUUGGCAGAAAUGGGAAGAUGGCAUGAGGCACAGCCAAGCUGGUCAUCGACCAGCAGAACCUCGUACCAGGUGACCCGAGCCAAUCACAGCGCUUGACUGAGCUCUGGAGAGACAGGAAGAAGAGCCUCCUGCAUGACCACUAGACUCACAACAAAGAUGAAUGUACCUUGUUUUAAACCACUAAAUUCAGGAAUGAUUAUCAAUAGCAAACAGAUACAGUAUCUCUUUUUUAUGUUAC